UACGUAGGGGGCUAGCGUUGUCCGGAAUCAUUGGGCGUAAAGAGCGCGUAGGCGGCCAGAUAAGUCCGGUGUGAAAGUCACAGGCUCAACCUGUGAAUGCCGCUGGAAACUGUCUGGCUAGAGUCCGGGAGGGGCGAGUGGAAUUCCUGGUGUAGCGGUGGAAUGCGCAGAUAUCAGGAGGAACACCAAUAGCGAAGGCAGCUCGCUGGGACGGUACUGACGCUGAGGCGCGAAAGCGUGGGGAGCGAACAGG
rnacentral:rRNA from 1 species